CAGGUGGUUGUGAUGGAGGAUAUUGUCAGCUGGGGUCAUCCUGUGUGUCUGGAUGUGUAGACUCCUACUACAGGACUGGCUGUAAAGCUGGUACUACAGUGGGACUAUCUGUGGGACUGUCGGAGUUUUCUUAAUCAUCUUCCUGGUCUUGUGCUGCAAGUAUUGUCAACGCUUAAGGCAGAACAGUGUCACCAACAAAACAGAGAUGUGCAGCAACGUUGCCGAGAUGAGCGGUGCCACUGUACAGGAGCUGGAAUGGUAUACUGAUAUUCCACUGACAGACAUGACCCUGGCUUCUGGGUCAAGGUCAUCUGGAGGGAGCUGCUGCGGGG